GAAGGCAGCAGGCGCGCAACUUACCCUAAUCUCGAUUCGAGGAGGUAGUGACAAGAAAUACCGAUGCGGGACCCUACGGGUGCCGCGUUCGGAAUGAGUACGAUUCGAACCACCUAACGAGGAACGAUCGGAGGGCAAGUCUGGUGCCAGCAGCCGCGGUAAUUCCAGCUCCAAUAGCGUACGUUAAAGUUGCUGCAGUUAAAAAGCUCGUAGUUGAACGUUCGGGUUCCGCGGGACGGGGCCGCCCCGCGAGGGACGGCGCCGCCCCGGGGCUCGUGAUAUCUUAUCUCGCCGCCCGUCGCGAGGCGGACGGAGGGGAUGGAUGAGGUUACCUGGAAAAAAUCGGGGCGAUCUAGGCGGGCGAACCUCGCCAACGAACGAUCGGACAUGGGAUAACGGAAGAGGGCGUCGGCUCGACUUCGUCGGUUCCUCGGGCCGAGGCACGUACGGUGAAUAGGGGACGGUCGGGGGCCGCCCGUACCGGGUCGUGAGAGGUGAAAUUCUAGGAUCGACCCGAGACGAACUGCCGCGAAAGCAUUCGGCAAGGACGCUUUCAUUAAUCAAGAACG
rnacentral:rRNA from 1 species